CUCCCUUCUCGGCCUUUUGGCUAAGAUCAAGUGUAGUAUCUCCCUUCCAGCUGAAAGGGGGAACUGGCUGGCCUCUAGUCAGUUCUGUCCCACCUCAA
rnacentral:snRNA from 1 species